rnacentral:rRNA from 1 species
UACGAAGGGGGCUAGCGUUGUUCGGAAUUACUGGGCGUAAAGCGCGCGCAGGCGGUUCGAUAAGUUGGGGGUGAAAUCCCCGGGCUCAACCCGGGAAUUGCCUUCAAGACUGUCGAGCUAGAGGACGAGAGAGGUGAGUGGAAUUCCCAGUGUAGAGGUGAAAUUCGUAGAUAUUAGGAAGAACACCGGUGGCGAAGGCGGCCCACUGGAUCGGUACUGACGCUGAGGUGCGAAAGCGUGGGGAGCAAACAGG